AAUCAUUUAAAGAUACAGGCUUGUUUUCACAUCCUUAUUCCUUUUAAUGCAAAUGGUAAACUCUGUAUUUUUACUUAGGGACAGUUUCUCCUACUAAGAACCAUCCGGCUUUCAAGCUUCUUUGCUGUAUUAAUUUGAGCUGGCUAAGGUGUGCUGAAUGUGCAGAUUUCUUUCAAUGUAAUUAGCCCAAUGCUUUCUUUUUGCUGACGCACCCAGGCUCUUCCAUUGCCACCGCAUACUGUGUGCUCACAGCUGUACCAUUUUUUCUCAGGGGGAUUCUCCCAAAGUACUAGAUUUUCCUGCUGAGUCAGCCCAAAUGCCUCUGGCCACGGCCUAUGGAGAGAAAAACCUCAAGACAUCCACUGAAUGGAAGUCCCAGGUGCAAAAGUCAGAACUUUUGUAUAUAAUUUUCUGAUAUAUUAAACAGGCUUCAUAUCAAUUCCAGGCUCCCAUGGAAGGCUUACAUUUUAUCUGUCAUACUGUAGUUAUAAACCAAUGAGAAAUGUCCAACAGCUUAUAUAUUUUGGCUAAGGCAAAUAUAUUAACUAAAAAUGUACUACACCAAAA